GGAUAUAGUUCAGUUGGUAGAAUGCCUGCCUUUCAUGCACAAGACCCUGGGUUCCAUCCCAGCACCA
rnacentral:tRNA from 1 species